CAGUGGCAAAAAGGACUCAAGUCAGCUUGGAAAACAAAUGCACAGAUCAAGUCAGAAACCAAGACUGAGGCAUAAGUCAACCGCAGCCAGGUAUUUCAAAAGUCUCAGCUACCAUCGUGGAUCAUUCCGGACUUCCGCCGGUGUCAGCCUAGCUGGUCGACCAGUGUCCCCUCUCGCCCCCUGCCAAACAGUUCUCUACUGGGCAGCCGGACCGGAGCCUGAUUUCUUCUACAAUUCACAGCAAACCUUGGAAAAUGAACUUUGUCACAGAGCCAAAACAAGUAUUCUCUUGACUGGAAAGACUCAACUUUAGAAAGAUAUCACUUUCUUUAAAGCAAAUUCAAAUGUGCUUGAAUAAUUGUGGGAAAAAUAAUAGUGUGGUUUCCCUACAAUCAUUCUUACAUUAAAUGCUGUACAUCAAAAUCAAAAUUAUUUUUAUGCAUGAUGGGCAGUUUCCCACUAACAAUUUUCUAAAUUGCCUAAUAAUUUUAUGUAGCAUAAUUACAAGACUCCUGCUUGUGUAUUUUUCCUUCUCUUUGCUUUCAUCUGAAUACGAAUUAAGAGUAAUCACUAGCGAACCUUUAUGGUAGAUGUUUACAAUGUAAUGCUGCAACAGAGCUCUAUAAAAGGAACCUAAUAGGAAAGCCCUCGAAAUACUUCCUCCAUUAACAAUAGGGCAUGCAACUGUAAGAAGGAAAAUUUCCAGAGUAAGUGAUUUUCUGAAUAAAAAUGGGUGAAUAUGUGAAGGCAGAUUGAUUGUUCAGUAAUCACUUUCAUGUCUAAAACUCUGUUGAACAUCUCCCACCUUAUGAUCCACCAUUAAAUGCAAAUCAACAUUUGUAAAUCCAAAAUCCCUAUGAAUGUUUCCCACUGUGAUAGGUUUUUUUGUCAAUUUGGCUAGGCCACAGUGCCUAGUUGUUUGGUCUAACACUAGUCUGCAUGUUUCUGUGAAGGUCUUUUGUUGAUGUGAUUAAUGUUUAGCAGUUGACUUAAAUAAAGGAGAUUAACCUUGAUAAUGUGGGUGGGCCUCAGUCCAAUCAGGUGAAGGCCUUAAGAGCAAAAACUGGUUUUCCCAAAAGAAGGAAUUCUGCCUCAAGACUGUAACACAGAGCGCCUGCCUGAAUUUCCAGCCUACUGGAUCGCUGUAUAGAUUUUGGACUUGUCAGCCCCCACAAGCACAUGAACUAAUUUCAUAAAACAAAUCUCUCUCUCUCUACACACACACACACACACACACACACACACACACACACACACACACCCUUUUGGUUCUGUUUUUCUGGAGAACCCUGAUUGUUAAAUCCACAUUUUAUGCCUUCUUCUCUUUAUGAUUUUGGCCAUAUCUAUUUAUUAAUAAUAUGGUGUCUUUCCUUUAGUUGCAAUUAAAGUAACUCCCUAUAUUUAUUUGCCUACUGGUAAGAAAUAUAACCAUAAAUUCAUAAAUUUGAGGUGUUAUUUUUUCCUAUAACAUAUUAACACACAACUAUUAACAUUUUAAAAAUGGUCAUUUAAGCAUAACAUAUACAGUUGUUGAAUCACUAUGUUGUACACCCGAAAUGAAUGUUACAUUGUAUGUCAGCUGUAUUUCAACUAAAAAAAAAAGGUCGUUCACAUGAACUCUAAAAUCACACUGGGGGUUCCUGUACCACUCUAGGGACCCAUAGCCUGGAUUCACUUCUCUUCUUGAUUUCAUUUUGAUUAAUAAAUUUCUCCCUAUUAUGUGGAAAUGGAACUAUGAACUCUAUUUUACUUCUCUAUUUAUUUCUUUGUGACACAUAUUUAACUUCCUUUUUAUUGCUAUCCCACUAGAAUUUAAGUCUUUAUGACAUAAAACCUAUAAUAUGGAAUUUCUGAUAGUCCAAGGACCUACUUUUAAUUCCCUCUAUUCAUAUUACCCAAAUAUCUACCUAGCCAAACAAGGAUCAGAACCCAAAAAUACAAAGAGAAAUCACCUUUUUCUUGCCCUGGAACGUCUUACAAUUUAGUGAAGGAUUCAUCCCCAGUUAUUCAUUUGAAACUCGGAGGAAAUGCUUGGUGGCUGAGAACUUAAGAGAGAUGCGGGAGUUUCUUUAUAAAGGAUGCUCUGUCUAAAGACUAGGGAAGAAUUUCCUAGAGGAACAACCAGUGAAGAGUGGAACAAAUACAUAUCAGUUGGUCUGGACCCUCAUGGCUGAUGAUCCCCUUCCUGGAUAUCUGAGGACAACAGAGGUUCAGAGAUAUGCCCAAAGUUACUCAGUUUGAGUCCUGCUCAUUCCAGUUGUACUAAUUACAUUUCUGAUCACAGCUUCCUCAGCCUCCUUUCCUCCUAAGAGCUUGUUUUGAAUUGAGAGAAUAAUCAAACAGAUUUCAUUUGAUAAAUCAUUUCUCAAUCCAUCCCCUUUUCCUCCUUCCAUCUUCCCUUCUCUCUUUCCAUCUCCCCCACCUCUACCUUCCCUUCCCCUUGUAAAUAUUGCAUACCAGACACUUAUCUGAUCACUGGCCUUCAGAGAUUAAGCAGGGUCUACUCCCAAAUCUCGCUAAUCUAUCUUCCUCCCGUGUGCAAGGGGGAACUCACUUCCUUCCACGAUGCUCAGCUCAGCUCAGCUGUCUCACCACGCCUGCAGGUGUCCCCUGAUGCCUCUUCUUUCCAAUCAUGCCUCUAAAGCAUACUGCAACUUUUCGGCCCAUGUAAACCAAACUAUCAAAGCCCUCAAAAUGUCAGCUUUCUGUUGCUUAUCAGUUAUAAAGGUUUUUUUUUCCUUCUUGUCUUUCCACUUGAAUCAAGUUUUGUGAUUCUCAAUAUGGACAUGUGCACAUCCUCUUAUCUAUUAUUGCAUUCUAAAUGUACACAUUGAGGACCAUUUCAUAAUGGAAGUAUUGAUAAUGAAGACCACAAGAGUCGAGAGAUACAUGCUACAACAGGAGUGAAACUUGAAGCAUUAUGGUAAGUGAGAGAAGCCAGACAGAAAAAGGCUACAGAUUACAUAAGUCGAUUUAUGUGGAAUGUUCAGGAAAGGCAAAUGUACAAACAGAAAAUAGAUCAGUGGUUGCUAGGGCUUUAAGAAGAGGGAAAUAGAAAGUAAUUACUGAUGGGUAUGGGGUUUUUUGGGUGAGGAGGCAAAAAAUGUUUUGCAGUUAGGUAGUUUUGAGGUUUGUGGCGUUUUAGCAACAUACUAAAACCACUGAUACUUUGCAUACUGUCAAAGGGUUAACUUUGUGGUAAAUGAAUUACAUCUCAGUAAGAAGAAAAAGAGUUGAUGGCUGUAUUUCUGGAAGUUAAAAUAUUGUUUCACCCAUUCUAAAAUAAUAUUUUGCAUGUAUUAGCUCUAUGGAAUUAGCUUCCUAACAGGUGAGUGUGACCGUUUUCUCUCUUAGUGAUUGUUGGGCUUAAUGUAGAGCAUGAAAUCAUCUGUAAUACCUGGCUUGCUAAAAUGUAACCCGGAGGCCACCAAGGGCAAGGGAAGGUUUCAGAGAAGGACGAAGGCCUUUGGAAUGCCACGGGGAGUUGCCUUCCCCCAAGCUUUCUUAGCUGGCACAGCCACCUUGUGAUCUAAGAGAUGUAUGCAUUGUCCCCUAGGCUAUGUGUAGCUGAACUCCUAAACUGUGCAGAUUAGCAUAUCGUAUCUUUCCUGUAAACAGAUCCUCCCAGUUCCAGUAAGACCCCUUAUCACACAUCACGUGCUGGAGAAACAGUGAUAAGGAUUUGUCAUUAUCCUGAAGGACCAAUAAAAGCUGGAGCAAAGAAGAGCAAAGGGUCUUUGUCUCGGAGUUGACCUUCUUGCCUUCUCUCUUUCACAGCAAAGUUUGGAGUAAUCUUUUUAUCUGUUGGUACAGGGAUUGCUUGCAAUUUGGUAGCUUUGAUGCUUGCGGCAUCUUAGGAACAUACUAAAACCACCCAUACUUUGUAUACUUUCAAAGGGUUAACUUUGUGGUAAGUGAAUUAAAUCUCGAGAAGAAGAAAAAGAGUUCAUGGCUAUAUUUCUGAAAAUUAGAAUAUUGUUUCACCCAUUCUAAAAUAAUAUUUUGCAUGUAUUAGCACUAUGGAAUUAGUUUCCUAAUAGGUGAGUGUGACCAUUUUCUCUCAGUGAUAAAUAAAAUAAUACUGUGUCAUAAAAUUGACUGCAUCAUCGAGUCAAUGAAAUACAGUAUAGUUUUGAUUUUAGCUACCACUUGAUUCAAAGAAACUAUUGAAAAUCUGUAUUUCACACAACUUUCACUGGAAAUAAAUUCAUUGUUGGCUUCUCACUUCAAAUAUUUAAACCAAAUCUACUCAGCAAAUCAUCAGUUUGUGUUUGGUUAAGAUGAGGACCAUUGCGGAUCUUUUAAUGGCCAUGGAUUCUUAAGCACUCUUCUCACUAGGAACUGGGCUUUA